ACUUGAUCUGAAAUCAGGUGGGAUUACC
rnacentral:rRNA from 3 species